AAAGUUCCUCUUUCCUGAUGAUCAGAAAAAAAUUUGCUUUUACUGUCCUCAUUUUUAACCAUCCUAAGACUACUAAUAUAUUGCAUUGGAAACUUAUGCCAUAAGGAAUGCUAAAUAGCCCAAUAUUAUAUCAAUAUUUUGUUAAUAAAGCCUUGUUCUUUUUUGGUCAUAAAUUUUCUCAUUUAUUUAUUUAUCAUUGUAUGGAUGAUAUGUUGCUUACAGGAUGAAACAUCACAGAUGAAAUUCUACAAACAUUAGGGGAAGUGUUAUUACAAUCAGGACUCUAUGUUGUAACAGAAAAAAAUUCAACCUUACCUCUCUAUCAGUUGUUAAAGAAAUAACACUAUACUGCCUUUUUCAAGCUCUACAAAAAAUUAACAGAAAUUUGGUGCGAGUAAUGUCUCAGGACCUUCCCCAGUGUCAUAGAUGUGUGCACCAGGAUCUUCAAUGUUUUACUGGUUUCUUUGCCUUCUCAUACAGUCAAUGGAGCUUAGCAACAUUGCCACGUUCACAGUCAUGCAUAGCGCCUGCCACUGAACCUUCAUGAUGUCAAGAUUUUUCUUCAAGGUAUUUAUAUAUUUGGUAUUUUCUCAACAUAAGUAAA
rnacentral:lncRNA from 1 species